GACGAACCGUGCAAACGUUAUUCGGAAUCACUGGGCAUAAAGGGCGCGUAGGCGGCUUUCUAAGUCAGGGGUGAAAUCCGGCAGCUCAACUGUCGCAGUGCCUUUGAUACUGGAGAGCUCGAGGGAGGUAGGGGUCUGUGGAACUUCCGGUGGAGCGGUGAAAUGCGUUGAUAUCGGAAGGAACGCCGGUGGCGAAAGCGACGGACUGGACCUUUUCUGACGCUGAGGCGCGAAAGCCAGGGGAGCAAACGGG
rnacentral:rRNA from 1 species